AGAGUUUGAUCCUGGCUCAGGAUGAACGCUAGCGGCAGGCCUAAUACAUGCAAGUCGAACGGCAGGCGUCCCUUCGGGGUCGCCGAGAGUGGCGCACGGGUGCGUAACGCGUAUGCAACCCACCCGCCGCCGGGGGAUAGCCCGGGGAAAUCCGGAUUAACCCCCCAUGAGGAGCGGACGAGGCAUCUCGUCCGUUUCAAAACCACGGUGGCGGCGGACGGGCAUGCGUGCCAUUAGAUAGUUGGCGGGGCGACGGCCCACCAAGUCGACGAUGGCUAGGGGAUCUGAGAGGACGGUCCCCCACACUGGUACUGAGACACGGACCAGACUCCUACGGGAGGCAGCAGUAAGGGAUAUUGGUCAAUGGGGGGAACCCUGAACCAGCCAUGCCGCGUGAGGGAAUGAGGCCCUACGGGUCGUGAACCUCUUUUGCCGGGGGAUAAGGGCGUCCACGCGUGGGCGUUUGAAGGUACCCGGAGAAUAAGCAUCGGCUAACUCCGUGCCAGCAGCCGCGGUAAUACGGAGGAUGCGAGCGUUAUCCGGAUUUAUUGGGUUUAAAGGGUGCGCAGGCGGGCGGUUAAGUCAGCGGUGAAAGGCAGGGGCUCAACCCCGGCAGUGCCGUUGAUACUGGCCGUCUUGAAUGCGGUCGAGGCCGGCGGAAUGUGGCGUGUAGCGGUGAAAUGCAUAGAUAUGCCACAGAACACCGAUAGCGAAGGCAGCUGGCCGGGCCUGCAUUGACGCUGAGGCACGAAAGCGUGGGGAUCGAACAGGAUUAGAUACCCUGGUAGUCCACGCAGUAAACGAUGAUGACUAACCGUCGGCGAUACACUGCCGGUGGCCAAGCGAAAGCGAUAAGUCAUCCACCUGGGGAGUACGUUCGCAAGAAUGAAACUCAAAGGAAUUGACGGGGGCCCGCACAAGCGGAGGAACAUGUGGUUUAAUUCGAUGAUACGCGAGGAACCUUACCCGGGCUCGAACGGCAGCUGAACGAGGCGGAGACGCCGAGGCCCUCCGGGGCGGCUGUCGAGGUGCUGCAUGGUUGUCGUCAGCUCGUGUCGUGAGAUGUUGGCUUAAGUGCCAUAACGAGCGCAACCCUUGCCGCCAGUUACCAUCAAGUGAAGUUGGGGACUCUGGCGGGACUGCCACCGCAAGGUGCGAGGAAGGCGGGGAUGACGUCAAAUCAGCACGGCCCUUACGUCCGGGGCGACACACGUGUUACAAUGGCGGCUACAGAGGGAUGCCACCCCGCGAGGGGGAGCGGAUCUCGAAAGGCCGUCUCAGUUCGGAUCGGAGUCUGCAACCCGACUCCGUGAAGCUGGAUUCGCUAGUAAUCGCGCAUCAGCCAUGGCGCGGUGAAUACGUUACCGGGCCUUGCACUCACCGCCCGUCAAG
rnacentral:rRNA from 1 species